UCUAUUGAAUUUGUCAAGAUAAUGAUAUCUUCUCCUGUCAUGCUUGGUAAAUGCGCCUCUUCAGGACACUCCACAGGAUCUCGAUUGGGUUUAAGUCAGGGGAACAAGGUUCCCACUGCAUAAAACGACCUCCAGAGAAGCCUAUUUGCUGCAGGUUUCCUUAGAAUUCUUCGCUGCAUGAGAUGAGGCAUUAUCUUGCAUGAAGACCAACUUUCUCUUGAAUGAAAGUUUUGCUUUUUGAACCACAGUUGGAAAUUUUCCUUGAAGAAGAAAAAUUAUAGAAAACUGUUACAGAGGUUUAAAGUUUAAUCAAUUUUACCUAAUCAGAAAACAGGAUUUGGAAGCUGGCAUUUUCUGCAUGAUAGUUGUCUAUCGCAAAAUGAAAGCAAAUUAAUUACGAGGAGGAAUUUUUAUUAAACAAAUGAAAGCAAAGCAUUGCUGAAGUUUCAAUAAGUUUUAAUAAAUAAAGUCAGGAGAAGCGGUCGAACAGACAUGUAAAUAAUUUUAAAAGGAAAAAAAUUCUCAACUAAGUUAUUUGGGGAAGAAUUGCACAAAUUUGUCCUGAUCAAGAGGCCUAUCUGUCGGAGAAGGCAUGGUCUGACAUGGAAUAAACAAACAUUUAUUCAACACAUUCUAUUGUAAAAACUGCCCGGCAACGAUGGGCUAUUCACUAUUCAGCUAGUCUAGAAAAUAAAGCUAGUUUCAAUGACACA